rnacentral:rRNA from 1 species
GACGAACGCUGGCGGCGUGCUUAACACAUGCAAGUCGAACGAAGUGGCGAACGGGUGAGUAACGCGUAAUCAACCUGCCCUUCAGAGGGGGACAACAGUUGGAAACGACUGCUAAUACCGCAUACUGAAGGAGGGGAUUGCGUCGGAUUAGCUAGUUGGAGGGGUAACGGCCCACCAAGGCGAAGAUCAGUAGGCUGGCCGAGGGGAUUAACGGCCACAUUGGGACCGGGACACGGCCCAGACUCCUACGGGAGGCAGCAGUGGGGAAUCUUCCGACAUGGACGAAAGGCCGACGGAGCAACGCCGCGUGAGGGAUGACGGCCUUCGGGUUGUAAAGCUCUGUUAAUCGGGACGCGGUACCGGAAUAGAAAGCCACGGCUAACUACGUGCCAGCAGCCGCGGUAAUUC